UAGAUAGAUAGAUAGAUAGAUAGAUAGAUAGAUAGAUAGAUAGAUAGAUAGAUAGAUAGAUAGAUAGAUAGAUAGAUAGAUAGAUAGAUAGAUAGAUAGAUAGAUAGAUAGAUAGAUAGAUAGAUAGAUUUAUUUACAGAUAAACUUUAUUUACAGAGGAUAAACCUGGUUAGCCUAAUAACUAAUCUUCCCCAGGGUCCUCUCUACUAACUACGCAAUAAGAAUAUAAUACUAUUAUUUUGAAGUGUCCUUUAAGUUUCUAAAGAGCCUAGUAACAAUUUUGUUAAAAGUAAAGUUUAAGUAUUAUCUGAAACGUCAAGGUAAUGCUGAUACACUUUUCUCUUGAAAAUUCCCAGUGAUGUUGACUGUCUAAUGUUAAGUGGAAGUUCAUUCCAUAUUUUACUUCCUUUUAUUGAUAUUGACUGAUCAACCUUUUUCAGUUUUGAUCUGGGCACAUACAAAUUUUUGUGUGAUGAACUUCUCGUCAAUCGCUGUUUAAUCUGAUUUUGAUGAGUAAACAAAUCAGUCAUAUAUUUUGGAGCUAGUCCAUUUAGAGCCUUGUAGACUACUAUGGCUGUUUUGAAGUUAAUUCUUCGUUGAAUGGGCAGCCACUUAAGUUUCUUAAACAGUGGACCUGAAUGUUCACGGUCUGGAAGCUUCAACAGCGAGGUUAUCUUCGUAGAAGACCCCAAAACCACACUGCCGUAAUCAAAAUAGACCUGUAUGAAGUUUUGAUAGAACAAUUUUCUUGUAUCAAAUGGCAGGUAAGACUUGAUCCUACGAAAUAGAGCAAGGUUGCGGCUUACAGUUUUGCAUACGUUUUUAACUUGAUCGUUCCAUGUAAGAUCUUGGUCAAUAAUAACUCCAAGGAGCUUUUGUUGGUGAAUCUGAAGUAAUGGCUGCUCAUUCAUUUUCACCUCAAUUGCUUGAUCUUGUUGGUUUCUUUUCAGCCUCGAACGUUUUUGCUGUGUCGUGACCAGAAGAGACUUUGUUUUCUCUACAUUGACAGACAUCUUGUUUUCAUUGCACCACGUUGCGAUUUGUCUAGCAGAUGUGUUCAACUUUGUUUCAAUCUCUUUGACAGUCUUGCCAGAAACUGAUAUAGUGCUAUCGUCUGCAUACAUCUCUAAUUGACCUUCCUUUAUUUCUAAUGGUAUGUCAUUCAUGAACAAGAUGAAUAAAAGUGGACCUAAAAUUGAGCCUUGUGGUACCCCUGACUUCACAACCUCAGGAUCUGAGAUGUUAUUUUUAAAAUUAACAAUUUGCUUACGUUCGUUCAAAUACGAAGUGAACCAUUCAAGUGUUUUACCGCAGCAUUGAUACAGUUUUAGCUUUUCCAAUAAUAAUUUAUGAUUGACAAGAUCGAAUGCUUUUCUCAAAUCGAGCAGAAUAACGCCUGUCACGAGGCCAUCGUUCAUAGACUUCAACCAUCGGGUUGUUGGAUUGAGAAGAGCAGUCACGCAUGAGUUCAUUGCUCUGAAGCCUGACUGAGCUACGUAAAGGAGACCAUGUGUGUCCAGGUAUGUGUAGAGAUGACGGUGGACAUAUUUUUCAAUUAUUUUACUUAGCAGUGGAAGGACUGAAAUUAGUCGAAAGUUCCCAAAAUCAUGGAGGGGGCCAGACUUGGGUACUGGAGUGACUUUCGCGGUUUUCCAAACGUCUGGAACGAUACCAGAUGUAAAACUUUUAUUCAUGAUCUUGGUAACAGAUUGAACAAUCUCGGGAGCUGCUGCUUUUAACAAUUUACAACUUAUCCCGUCGAUUCCAACAGCAUUUUUCUUAGGCAUGGCAUUUAUUUCCUUUAAUACAUAUUCCGCUGUCAUUAAUGGUGUUGUGAAUUCAGUAGAUCUGUUAAUUUUUGAUUCGAUAAAAGGAUUUAAGCCUCUGCAAGUUUGGCAUAAAGUUUCCUGACACUUCUGGUAUGUACUUUUCAACAAGUACAAGCUUGGCGUAAGUCUAGCUUUGACCGUAUGGUGCAAUCAUGGAACUUGUGAAUGAAAACUUCUACUAUUGGUGGUUGUGUUAUUCUGCUUCGCUCCAUUUAACUGUUAGGUACUCGCAAAUCUACGCUGGCACGUAUCAUUUGUGGUUGCAGUUGUUCUUUUGCAGUGUUGAUGAAGCUUAGUUUAGGCUGUACAACAACAGGUGAACACCAUGUGGUGGGUUCAUUCUCUGGGACUCUCUCCAACAGGUCUUCUUGUACACCCUGGUCUAGCCAUUGUUCGAAAGGUUCUUGCAAGUAGUAGGGUACCUGCCUUUGCUUCUGUGCUAUCGGUGCAGCUUCAGGUCUCAUGUUGAACUCUCCAUCUCUUGAUUAUUUCUUUUGUCAUGGAUUUUUCCAAUGCCUACAAACACGUGAUUUUAUUGUUCAACUAUAUUCAACAUCUCCUGCAUUUCUGUGUUUUGUUUUGCUACCUUCACAUAUCCGUUUUCUUGCUGUAUUCUUAUGUUGUUAGGAUGUGCAAGUCCUCCAUCUGCUUGAAUCUUAAUCAUACCAAGCUCUAGGAGUGUAGCUUUACUUAUCAGGGGUGGUGAAUUGAUGUAUCAGUAUACGACGACAAAUCUUACAAUUUUUCCACAUGUGAGAUUUCUAAGAAUUUUUAACCCUUCAGCAGAUUGAAGUCUAAGCAAAAUAAAAAUAAAUCUAAUUAAGAAUCUAAUUACAUUGAUAACGAGCCUAACAAUUAAAGAUUGUAAGACCUACAAAUCUUAUCUACCUAUUGCUGUUCUUCCAGGAAGUUGUGUUUUAGCGUCAGCUUUCUAGAUAUUUUUUAAGUUGUUUUUGGAAACGAUCUAGUGUCGGAGGUUCAAGAAUUUCAGCAGUUGUGUCAUUCCAAGAUUUGAGAGCAGUCCUAUAUCUAGGGAUCUGGAGAUCUUUACAGUGCCUCGUAUUAUAGGUCGCGUGAAAAGAUCUCGGCUGGUAUUUACCCCCUUUGGCUUUCAGGACACAGUCUGUUCAUUAUCUUCGAGGUCAUGACAUUCCGAUCAUAACGGAAAAGAUUUUCUACGUUUAACCAGGAAGCCGACCAGCUGUUAUUUAUUCUUACAUUUGUUAUUAUUGAACACGCCCUAUCUUGGGCAGCUAUUUUUGUUUUUGUUAGAUAGAUAACAUCGGCAUAACGAAGAUGACUGUCAAUUAGUGCAUAGUAUACAUUACACAGCUGGGAUUGUGGAAUGAAAUUUUUCAAUUUUUUUAGAGCUGCAAGACCUACAUUCAUUUUGCCUUUGGUGCGCUUAAACUGUUCAUCCCAAUUUCAUCAAUUAUCACUCCAAAAGAUUUUUACUUAUCUACUCUUUUUAGAGGAAUCAAAGCAAAUGGUGUCACAAUAACUAAUAUUAGAUACGCAGACGACACGAUCAUCAUCGCAAAAA